GAUGAACGCUGGCGGCGUGCCUAAUACAUGCAAGUCGAGCGAACAGACGAGGAGCUUGCUCCUCUGACGUUAGCGGCGGACGGGUGAGUAACACUUGUAUAACCUACCUAUAAGACUGGGAUAACUUCGGGAAACCGGAGCUAAUACCGGAUAAUAUAUUGAACCGCAUGGUUCAAUAGUGAAAGACGGUUUUGCUGUCACUUAUAGAUGGAUCCGCGCCGCAUUAGCUAGUUGGUAAGGUAACGGCUUACCAAGGCAACGAUGCGUAGCCGACCUGAGAGGGUGAUCGGCCACACUGGAACUGAGACACGGUCCAGACUCCUACGGGAGGCAGCAGUAGGGAAUCUUCCGCAAUGGGCGAAAGCCUGACGGAGCAACGCCGCGUGAGUGAUGAAGGUCUUCGGAUCGUAAAACUCUGUUAUUAGGGAAGAACAAAUGUGUAAGUAACUAUGCACGUCUUGACGGUACCUAAUCAGAAAGCCACGGCUAACUACGUG
rnacentral:rRNA from 1 species